ensembl:lncRNA Pcdhga1 protocadherin gamma subfamily A, 1
CAGUGUAUACCAGUAGGCUUUAUUUAAUUUUAACAUCUUACCAUCCAUAUUUAAAUAAGAUCAAUGUUUAGGCCUUUUGUUUUGAAUAAGUUCAGAAUGUUUGUGAAAACAGUACAAAUAAACCCCAUAAAUAGCCAUCACUUGGUAGCUGAGGGGGCUCGGUUCUAUCUGAGGAUGCUGGAUUUCCUUGUGUAAAGUGAUGGGAAUAUGCAAAUGACCUGUGCACGUUCUUCUGGAUAGUUUGUCAUCUUCCAAUUAUAAUUCUGCCCAAGAUAACGUAUGCAGUUGAUGUUCAUGCUGUUUUUCAAAUAUUUUCAAUUUGUGAUGUAGCUGUAGGAUCGUGCAAUUGAACACAUACGCUUUACGUUUAAAGUUCACUGGACUCUUUGCUCUCCUUACCCCAAAUUCGAGCAUUUCAGUUGCGUGUUUUCCUUGAUUCCAUGUAAGCUGCACACAUGAUGCCCAUUGACCAAAAAAGUACUCUCUAUAACCAAAGUACAAAACCCACUCGGCGCUGGUGCGGUUUCAUUAUCUAGCCUAUAUCUCUUGGCAAUAAUUUUCCAGCUUGCUACAAAUGUCUUUUUCAUAGGGAAAUAAAGUAUUUUCCAAGUCCAGGAUCCAUCCCGGGAUAUAUUGUACUUCACGAGCUGUCUGCAGUGUGUAGAACUGGAGCAGUUCAUCAGACUUCACAUUUCAUGGACUUGAAGAUCCAGCCAGUGCUACUGUAAAGCCACUCUCCCUUGGGGUGUGAUAGACUCUGUCUCUUGAUUUAGGUUCAGCUUAUGCAGGUCUGGUCAGAGCACAAAGAAACGACAUCAUCUUCUCAGUGCAUCGCCUUGGGAGCCGCCUGGUGCCAUUGUCUCAGCACCAUUCUUGUUAACAUUGAUUACUGGAAAUGUUCUAGAAAUUGUCUAAUUAUUUGUAGUUAUCUCUGUUUCUUAUUUGCCGAUUAAUAACAAUCUAGUCCACUCCCCCCCUGCCUUUUUUGCCUCUCCACCAUCUUGCUUUGCGGUUUCUUAUGGCGUCUUUGUAGUGAGUAUUUUGAAAAUAAUGAAUGAGACUUCCAACUUUUUUUUUCCUCAAGAUUGUUUUGUUUGUUCAGAGGGGUCCCUUGAGAUGUCAAAUGAAUGUUACAAUGGGCUUUUUCAUUUCUGCCCCAAACAUAUUACCUGAAUUUUGAUAGGGAUCUCAGUAGAUACAUGGGUUGUUUUAAUUAGUUCUGUACAUUUAUAUUUCUUUUAUUAAUAUUUUAUAGACUAUUACGUGUGUGUGGGAAUGCCCAUGGAGGCCCGAGGAGGACAUCAGAUCCUCUGAACCUGGAGCCACCAGCAGUUGAGAGAGCUCUGGAGCCUUCCUGCUGGAUCUAGGCUUUCUUGGGGGAUUAUGUUAAAAUCUGGGGUUAUUUUCAAUGCUGCGUUUUUUUUUUUUGAUGGUGCGAGCUCAUUGUUUUCUGCCUGCUCGACAACACUUUCUUUUUAUAAUGAUAACCAACAAGUUCCUCAAACUUACAACUAGUGUUUGUCGCCUUAAAUAUGACUGUUGUAAUAAUGUUCUAAUACAACGGUUUUCUUUUUUGCGUGUGUGCACAUGAAUCUUUAGUUUCAAUAUUUCAGUAUAAAUUUCAGAAUCUAUCCUAUCAACAGAAUACGGAUUUUUAAAACCAACCAAUUCAUUAAUUUGUGUUUAAUUAUAAGAACUAAGAAAACGCAGACCUGAAUUAAUUUAUUAGUUGAGAGUAUAAUUUUGUAUCAAAGAAGAAAAUAAAAAAUCCAGAAGACAUACAGCAAGAAUAAAAUUCUGUUGAAAGUCACCAGAGAAGAGAAAGAUUUCUUAAAAAGUAUGACAGCCCCUGACAGAAAAUCUCUCACUUGUGAUAACCAUAAAUUUUAUUAAGAAAUUGUAUUUUGAACUCUAGGCUUAUGCAAUUUUUUUUUAGUAGAAGAUUGUUUUUAAAAAGUUCUCACCUACUCUGCUUCCUUAUCUUUUUUCUCUCCUGAGUGCUGCCCCCGCCUGCCAAAGGGUCUCAUGUAGCCCAUAAUAGCUUAAAAUUGGAUAUGUAGCUAAGGAUGACCCCAAACUCCUUAUCCUCUCACCUCACUCAGCUUCUUAAAUACUGGCAUUAUAGGCAUAUGUCACCCUGACUAACUUCUAUUGGUUCUGGAGUUAUUUAUUUAAUGACCCUUCAAAGGUGGUGAGGCAGUGUUGAUCUGGAUAACACAGUUCACAGUGAACAGGGCUACUGCUCACUGCAUCUGCCCACUACCCUCCAUUUCAUGAGUCACUUAAGGAGAUAGAUUUUCAAGCACACACAGAAUACCUCUUAAUAAGUGAUUAUAGAACUAAGUUUAGCAAUAACAUCACAACUUUUAUAGAUUAUUAUCAUUUUAUAUUCACACGAGUAAAAUUGUGACUUUUGAUGGGUUUUACCACUACUGCUUCUGAAUAAGUGGAUAGUUAACGCAGAAUAAUGAAAUGAUUUACCCAGACAUAAGUGAGAAAUAGGAGACAAAUUUGUUUCUAAUGCAGUUCUCUUUCCCAAAGGAAACAGGCUUUCACACAACACUCCUCAUCCUCACCACUCAAGAGUAUGGCUAAAGGCUCCUUCCAAAAGAAGGAGUUUCUACUCGCCACCCUUUUUUUGAGACUGGGAUUUGGGCAUGUUCUGCAGCCCCAGAAUGCUAAAAGAAAUCUAAAAGGAUAGGCCAUCUGUGUAGGAUAGGUGUACAUGCCUGAAAUUCCAGCCCUCCAGUAGUCUGAGGCAUAAGGAUUACAAAUUUAAAAUCCUGCUAGGAUACAAAGUAAGUUCAAAGCCAGACCAGGCAUCUUAUCAAGACCUUAUCUGAAAAUAGUAAAACUCACUUAGCAUGCAUAUAAGCCCUUAGGUUUAAUCUCCAGUGGCAUGAAACAAUAAAAAACUCAUAACCACUACUGGGGUAUAAUGGAAUAUACUAUUUACAGAAAACAGCAAAAGAAAGUAUGUGCAGCCAUGAAUUGUUUUCACUGAUAUAUCUUAUAAGGUUAUUACAAAUUUACCUGAGAAAAUAUUUCCUCUUUAUCUUCAAGCAGAGACUGUGGUGCUGACAGAAAUUCUUUUUUCUCACAGCUCUCUUGGCUGAUGAGUGUGUCUGCGUAGUUGGGUUGCGGGAAGAUCAAGUGGCUCUUACGAGAGUCAGCAGUGAGUGAGAUCUCAUGGGAAUAGGUCUGUAGAAAUGCAUGUACCCCAUCAACACCUACAAAGUUGGAGGUGGGCAGGUCAGUCAGUCCAUUUGCUGCAGUCUGGAGCAAGCGUGAGGAGUGCCAAUGUCGCAGCUUGAGCACCAAGAGCACUAUUACAAAGGCUAGGAAGAUGCAGGAGACUACGGCCACUGCCACCACCAGGUAGAGUGUGAGAUCUGAAUCCUGGGGGUCAGCAGGGGUCCCAAUGCUGCCCAGGUCAGCCAGGAGGUCAGGGAUGUUGUCAGCCACUGCUAUAGUAAAUGUGACUGUGGUGGACAGAGGAGGCUGGCCGUGGUCCUGCACAGCCACCACCAGGCUCUGUUUGAGAGCAUCUCUGUCCAGCAGGGCCCGAGCUGUGCGUACCUCACCUGUGUGCAGCCCCACCGAGAAGAGCCCUGGCUCGCUGGCUUUGAGCAGACGGUAGGACAGCCAGGAGUUCUGUCCUGAGUCUUUGUCUACUGCUACUACCUUGGUCACCAGGUAACCGGGCUCGGCAGAUCGAGGUGCUAGCUCCACACCAGUGGAGCCAUCAGUGGGGAGGACAGGGUACAGGAUCUCUGGGGCGUUGUCAUUCUGAUCUAUCAUGAAUAGACUCAGAGAUACAUUGCUGCUGAGUUGUGGGUUCCCACUAUCACGGGCCAUCACUCUUAGCUGCAAAUCUCGAAACUGCUCAUAGUCAAAGGAUUGCAGUGCAUAGACAACUCCAGUGUCAGAGUUGAUGGAGAAAUAAGAAGACAAAGGUACUCCCUGAAUAGUGUCUUCCACCAGGGCGUAAGUCACUAGAGCAUUCUCAUUGUGGUCAGCAUCCUGGGCCUUUACUGAGAAGAUGGAAGCCCCUCUGGGGUUGUUUUCAGGGAUGUAGACAGAAUAGGAGUCCUGUUCGAAAACUGGAGGGUUGUCAUUGAUAUCUGUCACUAGCAGUGAGAUGUGAGCCUGGGUAGAUAGGGGUGGAGUUCCCUGAUCUGUUGCUGUUAUUGUGAUGUUGUACCUAGAGCUAUGUUCUCUGUCCAGUGUUCUUUCUGUUACUAAGCGGUAAUAAUUGUCCACUAACUUUUCCAGUUUAAAGGGUAGGUUGCCAGGAAUGGAACAAGUGGUGUGACCAUUGUCAUCAGCGUCUUGAUCAUGCACACUGAUGAGAGCAACUAUGGUCCCAGGAGGAAAGUUUUCUGGUAUUGUGGUAGUUACAGACGUGACUCCAAUUUCUGGGGCAUUAUCAUUAACAUCCAAAACAGUGACCAGCACCUUCGCUCUGGCCAUGAGUCCAGCACCAUCCUGAGCUUGAAUUUCCAUUGGAUAAACUUUGUAUUCUUCAAAGUCUAGUGGUUCUUUAUUCGAUAGUUCUCCUGUGUAAGAAUCCAACUGAAAUUUCCGGACCACGCUGUGGUCUACAUUGUGAAAGGAGUAGGUUACUCUGCCAUUAGCUCCCUCAUCCGGGUCAGAGGCAUUCACCUUGAGAAGCCGAGUGCCUAAUGGAACGUUCUCAGGGACUCUCACGUGAUACUCUGCCUGAGUAAAUGCUGGUGGGUUGUCGUUCACAUCUACCACCUGAACAUGAAUUUGCAAAGUCCCUGAAUGUAUUGGGUUGCCCCCAUCAGAGGCAGUGAGGAUCAGGUAAUGAACAGCAUCUUUUUCUCUGUCUAGAGGUCUCUGCAGUACCAUCUCCGGCUGUUGUGGUCCAUCAGGUCCCUGUUGCACAUCCAGGAAGAAGUGAGGGUUGGCGCUUAGCUGGUAGCUCUGAAGUGAAUUUAUACCCACAUCCAGGUCUUGCCCGAGAGGCAAAGGGAUCCUGGUACCUGGGGUCGUUAUUUCACUCAUUUUUAAUUCUAGCUCUUCUAACUGGAAUUGGGGAGUGUUGUCAUUGAUAUCAAUUAUCUCUACUUCGAUAGGGACAAGCUUUACUUUAUCCUCCAUAAGGAUGUUAAAGCUCACGACACACGGCACGCUCUGAGCGCACAGCUCUUCCCGGUCUAUCCUGCCCGCGGUGACCAAGCUGCCGCUUCGCGGGUUCAGGGAGAAAAGCUGCGACCUACCUCUGGAGACGAUGCGGAUCCUGCGCUCCGCCAGCUCCCGGGUUUCCAGUCCCAGGUCCUUGGCGAUGCUGCCCACGAAGGAGCCUUUGUCGGUUUCUUCUGGCACGGAGUAUCGGAUGUUUCCAGCCCC